AUGACAUCACACAUGAUUGUAACUUGCCUCAUCUGCCCAAACUGUAAUGGAUACUGUGCAAGUUUCAGAAGAGGAUUUGUGUUGGCUGGCUCCUGCUGGCCUUUAGCCAUGUGUCCCCAAGGAGAAAAUGUUUAAACAAAAGGAAAAGAAAAUGCAUUCGAGGACUGAGAUGAAGGGAACAACGAACGGGUCAGGAACACUAACUUCAUGAAUACCAAAAGAAAGUGGAAAACAAAUCAACAAAUGAAAUAAGAAAGUAAACGAAAUUGAUGGGAAGGAAGGCUUGGAAGAAAGAUGUAAAGAAAUACAAUAUGAAAUAACAGAACUUGGUAACUCUUAUAAAGAGAGAUGCAGAGAUACGCUUAGGCAUCGGCUUCUUGGAAGGUAAUGUGAAACAGCUUUCAAAAAAGAAGAUACCAACUGACCUGCGCUUGACCUGAUCCACUGCUAACUGAGAAAAAAAGCAGCUUCUAGAUUCGACUGAGUUCAAACCAGAGGAGAGAGGCUACAAACCAGUGAGCCAAAAGAGAAGAUGGAGGAAGCCAGGAAUUUGUAGGAAGAAGGAAAGAGCCAUACCUAGUGUGCUGGCCCUAACCUCAGGCUAAUGGAAGUAUGAUGGUGAGCACGACAGACAAGGUCAUUGCCUACAAGGAGCUGCUGAUGGAGAAUGACAUGCAGCGAAGAAGGUAGUAUGCAGACAUAUGUGCUCUCAUUUCAAGUUGAUUGGACCCAGAGCAUAGGUGAAGGAUUUGGUCUUGUAUGGGGACAGGAAAUCUUUUUCCACUGUGGAAUAUAACAAAGAAUAAAGAAUUUGUGGUGGAA